rnacentral:rRNA from 1 species
AACGAACGCUGGCGGCAGGCCUAACACAUGCAAGUCGAGCGAAGCCCUCGGGCUUAGCGGCGGACGGGUGAGUAACGCGUGGGAACGUGCCCUUUGGUACGGAAUAGCCCCGGGAAACUGGGAGUAAUACCGUAUGUGGUCGAGAGACGAAAGAUUUAUCGCCAAAGGAUCGGCCCGCGUUGGAUUAGGGAGUUGGUGGGGUAAUGGCCUACCAAGCCGACGAUCCAUAGCUGGUUGGAGAGGAUGAUCAGCCACACUGGGACUGAGAAACGGCCCAGACUCCUACGGGAGGCAGCAGUGGGGAAUCUUAGACAAUGGGGGAAACCCUGAUCUAGCCAUGCCGCGUGAUCGAUGAAGGCCUUAGGGUUGUAAAGAUCUUUCAGUGGGGAAGAUAAUGACUGUACCCACAGAAGAAGCCCCGGCUAACUCCGUGCCAGCAGCCGCCGUAAUAC